AGCGAACGCUGGCGGCAGGCCUAACACAUGCAAGUCGAACGAACUCUUCGGAGUUAGUGGCGGUCGGGUGAGUAACACGUGGGAACGUGCCUUUUGGUUCGGAACAACUCAGGGAAACUUGAGCUCAUACCGAAUGUGCCCUUCGGGGGAAAGAUCUACCGCCAUUGGAGCGGCCCGCGUCGGAUUAGCCGGUUGGUGAGGUAACGGCUCACCAAGGCGACGAUCAGUAGCUGGUAUGAGAGGAUGACCAGCCACACUGGGACUGAGACGCGGCCCAGACUCCUACGGGAGGGAGGAGUGGGUGAUCUAGCGAAAUGGGCGAAAGCCUGACGCAGCCAUGCCGGGUGAAUGAUGAAGGUGUUAGGAUAGUAAGAUUCUUUCACCGGGGACGAUAAUGACGGUACCCGGAGAAGAAGCCCCGGCUAACUUCGUG
rnacentral:rRNA from 1 species